UCCACCCUUUUAUUCUUUGGCUCCACCCAUUUCUUUUGUUUUGAUCGGCCAAGAGGGAAGACGAACACAAGACAAAAGUUAGGGAAAAGAGAAAUUGGGGGUAAACCAUGGUCUAACCGGUUCAUCGAUCUUUUGCAUCACCGAUUGAGAACUGCCAGUGCCACCUUCUGAGUUCGUCGGGUUACUUUACUUAUGAUUUUGGUUACCUUCUUAAACCGCACAUCACUUGAUGCGGCUUCUGGUCAUAAAUCAGAUAAGUGUGUAAAGAAAUACAUUUGAUUUCCUUUUCUGUAUGUUCUUAAAUAGAUCUGUCAGCUGUUUAGCAUCCUAUAUCUUUCGUUCAGCUGAAGUUCUUUUCAGAUGUUGGUAACCUAAAAAGGUACUUACUUAAAGAAGGAUUGGAUUGUUUUUGUUGUUCAAACUUUGUAGAUUUGAGGAUGCAUAGCAGGUGCUUGACGAAUUGCUUCAAAGAGCCAGUAUCAGCGGCGUCUGCUUCUCUUUCUAUUCACCGCCGUAGACGUUUAAUCGCCGCCCGUUCUCCGAUUUGAGAUCUUUGAUUAAUUUGACCAGCUGAGCAUGGCAGAAGAGAUAGAUGUCACAACGAGGUGUUUGGUAGCUUCAGAAGUUGACAGUGAGCUACUGUAAUUGGGGUGGAAGUAGCAGGGGGAUUAGGGCAUUUAUGGAGUCGUAGUUGGCAACAUUUAAAGAAAGCAAUCCUCAGCUAGAGGUGGUUACGGAGCUUAACCGUGGUCAACAUCCAUUUCUGAAGGGAGCAUACAAGAACAAGAAUGAGCGGGUUGUAUCUGUGAUGAACAUGAGUCCAGAAGAUGUGCUGCUUUGUGCAACUAGGCUUAGAAAUUCACUUGGAAGAAACAUGGUGAAGCUCAAGACCAGACAUGUCACCAACACCCCAGCGUGUAAGGAACUUAGACAACAGACUUGCAGAUCUUAUCUGCAUCUGCUGCUACAUUUCUUUUAUAAAACUACAUGUAUUAACUCUCAUCUCAACUCUCAAUUUAACAUCAUUAACAAAAACUUAACCAGUUACCAGCUUCUCAAC